rnacentral:rRNA from 1 species
UACGUAGGGCGCAAGCGUUAUCCGGAAUUAUUGGGCGUAAAGAGCUCGUAGGCGGCUUGUCGCGUCUGCCGUGAAAGUCCGGGGCUCAACUCCGGAUCUGCGGUGGGUACGGCCAGGCUAGAGUGAUGUAGGGGAGACUGGAAUUCCUGGUGUAGCGGUGAAAUGCGCAGAUAUCAGGAGGAACACCAAUGGCGAAGGCAGCUCGCUGGGACGGUACUGACGCUGAGACGCGAAAGCGUGGGGAGCAAACAGG